CUGGAAGUAGUCACUCUGAGCGGGAUAACCGGAACAACAAGAUGGCGGAGAGUGAAGAGUUUCGGGAGUCCUUCCUGUAGCAGAGACCUCAGCGUGUUGACAGGAGAAACAGCCGCGUGGGACCACACCAACAGCAGCAUGAACCUCCAGCAGCCGGCACCUCUCGUCCCCCCCGUCCACCCUGAUGUGCAAAUGAAGCCCCUCCCCUUCUAUGAUGUGCUGGACAUCCUCAUCAAGCCUUCGAGUCUAGGAGCGAGUCCUGCACAGAGGUACCACCAAGAGAAAUACUUCAUCUUUGCCCUGACACCACAACAAGUUCGUGAAGUGUGCAUAUCCAGGUAGGAC